rnacentral:rRNA from 1 species
GUUCUAUAAUCGAUAAUCCCCGAUAAACCUCACCACCUAUUGCCAAUACAGCCUAUAUACCACCGUCCAGCCCGCCCUUUAAAGGAUAAACAGCAGGCAUAAUUAUAAACAUUAAAACGUCAGGUCAAGGUGUAGCAGAUAAGGUGGAAAGAAAUGGGCUACAUUUUCUAACUUAGAAAACACGGAUGAUUCUAUGAAAUAGUUUCUGAAGGAGGAUUUAGCAGUAAAAAGAAACAAGAAUGUUCUUUUUAAGACGGCAAUAAAGCGCGCA